GUGAAAUCCCCGGGCUCAACCUGGGAAUGGCGAUGGAGACUGCAAGGCUAGAGUUUGGCAGAGGGGGGUAGAAUUCCACGUGUAGCAGUGAAAUGCGUAGAUAUGUGGAGGAAUACCGAUGGCGAAGGCAGCCCCCUGGGAUAACACUGACGCUCAUGCACGAAAGCGUGGGGAGCAAACAGGAUUAGAUACCCUGGUAGUCCAUGCCGUAAACGUUGGGCACUAGGUGUGGGGGACAUUCCACGUUUUCCGCGCCGUAGCUAACGCAUUAAGUGCCCCGCCUGGGGAGUACGGCCGCAAGGCUAAAACUCAAAGGAAUUGACGG
rnacentral:rRNA from 1 species